CCCAUGGGUACAUGAAAGACUCAAAGUGGAAAAGGAAAACGGAAAUGCAAAGAUAAGGUUAGAGUACUGUGGUGGCGUGCCGAAGUAAACAUCGAGCGAUCGGCCAGUGAAAAUAAUCAGAGACACCUCCGAUCAAAUAGCAAUGUAAUAUCCCGCUAUCGUAAGGUUUUUAGGGUCAAAGGUGAUUGGAUCCCAGGACGAAGUGCUCUUCCCAAUCCAUUGCUCGGUAGGUUUACCAUGACAUUAAAUGUUAGCAACCAUGCUCAGAGUCAUUCCGCUGACGGUCAAGUUCUAAUUACGUGUAUAUGACUAUUUGUUGUGAAAUGCUGAGAUUCACUUGUCAAAUUAUAUGUAUGUAUUUAAUGAUUGAUGAUGCCAUUAUGAAUACAUGACUAGGUUUUAUGAGUUGUUUUCAAAGGAAUUGUAAUUGAGCAUUAUGAAUUUCGGAUUCUAAAAGAAUAUGGAUUAACGUAUAA